rnacentral:tRNA from 1 species
ACACCCCCACCCUCAGCACCCAAAACUGAGAUUCUACUUAAACUACUCCUUGA